AGAAGCAUGAGUCAACUGGAGCAGCAGCCCUGUGAGAGAGCAGAUCGCAGGCAACACGGAGGGCCCCGUGGAGUCUGGCAGUCAUGAAUUUAUGGUGGCACCAGUCUGCGAGGUCAUCUGAUCUUCUCAAGCAGAGUUCAGCAGCCCAGGUGUACAAAGAGCUCAGAAACUGUGGCAUGAUCCGAGUGAAAAAGAAAAAUACCAAUCAGAGGGAAGGUGUGGCUUCACUCUUGGCAGAGACAGAGGAUAAUAGCAGGUCACGAAGAGUCUUGGCUUAUACCCUGCGGCAUUCCAGUCUCCAGGUGAGAAAUUAGGGGAACUGUCACGCCAAAUCAGCUGGUCGCCCUUAUGUCAUGGGAUCCGGACCAGGAGAAGAAGGCUGGCCGGGCGGAGUGCAUGUGAUCAGCGUGUGACAGGCCGUGCAUCCAGCCUGCUGAUGGCACCGGCUCUCCUGGCCCAAAUAACCACAAAAAGGAACAGAUUUCAGACAGGCAGUUUUACAGCGUCCCUGUGGUUACUUUGCAACUUCCAGCCACUUCUUUCUCUAGCACUGAACCAAAGAGACACGUAACCAUUAUCAAAAUGUUCUGAAUAUAUAGGUCACUCCGUUUUAGUUAUCUUUAAUCUGAGGUGUAUCGAUUUACCUUUCCACACCAAUCCACUCAAUUUACGUUUAGCUCAAGCUUUCAAAUUAAUUGCAUCCUGAAUUUAAAAAACAAAACAAAACAGUUUAGGGAGGUGAAG